rnacentral:rRNA from 1 species
CAGCCGCCGCGGUAAUACCGGCGGCCCGAGUGGCGGUCACUAUUAUUGGGCUUAAAGCGUCCGUAGCCGGGUUGGGAAGUCCUCCGGGAAAUCUGGCCGCUUAACGGUCAGAAUGCCGGAGGAUACUCCCAGCCUAGGGAGCGGGAGAGGCCGAGGGUAUUCCCGGAGUAGGGGGGAAAUCCUAUAAUCCCGGGAGGACCACCUGUGGCGAAGGCGCUCGGCUGGAACGCGUCCGACGGUGAGGGACGAAGGCCAGGGGAGCAAACCGGAUUAGAUACCCGGGUAGUCCUGGCUGUAAACGAUGCGGACUUUGUGUCGGACAAGCUAUGAGCUUGUCCGGUGCCGGAGGGAAACCGUUAAGUCCGCCGCCUGGGGAGUACGGCCGCAAGGCUGAAACUUAAAGGAAUUGACGGG